rnacentral:ncRNA from 1 species
AUUCUCGCACGGUCUAGCACCGGCGACGGAUCAUUCAAGUGUCUGCCCUAUCAACUUUCGUCGGUACGGUAUUUGCCUACCGAGGUUCUUACGGGUGACGGGGAAUCAGGGUUCGAUUCCGGAGAGGGAGCCUGAGAAACGGCUACCACAUCCAAGGAAGGCAGCAGGCGCGCAAAUUACCCAUUCCCGACGCGAGGAGGUAGUGACGAAAAAUAACAAUGCAGGACUCGUUCGAGGCCCUGUAAUUGGAAUGAGUACACUUUAAAAGCUUUAACGAGUAUCCAUUGGAGGGCAAGUCUGGUGCCAGCAGCCGCGGUAAUUCCAGCUCCAAAAGUAUAUAUUUAAGUUGUUGCGGUUAAAAAGCUCGUAGUUGGAUUUUGGGCGCAGGCGGCCGGUCCGUCGCAAGGCGUGUACUGGACGUCCUGGCCUUCCCUCCGGUUCUCCGCCGGUGCUCUUGACUGAGUGUCGGCGGCGGCCGGAACGUUUACUUUGAAAAAAUUAGAGUGUUCAAAGCAGGCUCUCGAGCCUGGAUAAUGGUGCAUGGAAUAAUGGAAUAGGACCUCGGUUCUAUUUUGUUGGUUUUCGGAGCGCGAGGUAAUGAUUAAGAGGGACAGACGGGGGCAUUCGUACUGUGCCGUUAGAGGUGAAAUUCUUGGAUCGGCGCAAGACGAACGACUGCGAAAGCAUUUGCCAAGAAUGUUUUCUUUAA